rnacentral:tRNA from 8 species
GCGGGUAUAGUUUAGUGGUAAAAUAACAGAUAUCUACCUAUUCUAUAUCUAUCUAGAUAGAUAUAGAAUAGGUAGAU